UACGGAGGGUGCAAGCGUUGUUCGGAUUUACUGGGCGUAAAGCGCGCGCAGGUGGAUGGACAAGUCGGAAGUGAAAUCUUGAGGCUCAACCUCGAGGCUGCUCCCGAAACUGUUCGUCUAGGGACUGGUAGAGGCUGGUAGAAUUCCCGGUGUAGCGGUGAAAUGCGUAGAUAUCGGGGAAGACCGACGAGCGCAGGACGGAAGUCACCUGGGGUUGUUC
rnacentral:rRNA from 1 species